rnacentral:misc_RNA from 1 species
GAUGAAGAACGUAGCGAAAUGCGAUAAGUAAUGCGAAUUGCAGAAUUCAGUGAGUCAUCGAAUCUUUGAACACACAUUGCGCCCUGUGGUAUUCCGCAGGGCAUGCCUGUUCGAGCGUCAUUUCAACCCUCAAGCCCCGCUUGGUGUUGGGCCCCGCCCGCUGUGGCCGGCCCUAAAGACAGUGGCGGCGCCGCCUGGCCCUCAGCGUAGUACAUCUCUCGCUCCAGGGUCCGGUGGCCGCCUGCCAGAACCCCCCAACUCUGUGGUUGACCUCGGAUCAGGUAGGGAUACCCGCUGAACUUAAGCAUAUCAAUAAGCGGAGGA